AUGGGUUCCAGCACUGCGCUUGGGCCCUGGCGCCUGGUGGCGGCACCUGCCCAUGUCCAGCCCUCUCAGCAGCCCGGAGCUAACGCCUUAAGCCUGACCUCCCCAAGGCGCCCGGCACCAGACCUCCCUGCCAGUUGCUCCAACCAGCACUUUCGGGCCUCCUUGCCAAGACCCCAGGCGCUCACCUGCCUCAGGCCCCUCUCCGUCCACCCCCUCCACAGGCUCCUCUUCCUCUUCCUCCAGGCCCUGGAAGUCCAGCUCCUGCUCCUCGGGAAUGGGCUCCUUGGGGCCCUUCUGUGGGAAAGGCAGAGUGGACACGGUAGCGGCGCAGCUGGGGACAGCUCCCACGGACCGCGGCUGGGCCCCAAAGGCGGGUACCUUAAGAGGCAGGAAGGCCCCAGAGGCGUCGAACGUGCCCAUCUCCUCAUCUUCGUCAUCCAGGCACCACUCUGGGAGUCCAUCUUUGUCCUCCUCAAAGCCUUCGAGCCCACGGCACCUCCGCAGGUGAGAGCCGCCUCCCCCAACCCGCCCGUCCUCGUCGGCAGUCCCUCCUCGCUCCCCUCGCAAGUCAAAGUCAAACUUGCGCCUCCGCUCCCCAUGCUCUCGCCAGCCAGCAGAGCGGGGGCCGCCAUCUGGAAGACAAAGCCGGGCGGCCCUGUACCCAGGCAAGCCAGACCUGCCUGCUCCAGCUCCCCAGGCCUCCCCGGCAGUGGCUUCCCUGGGAGGCUCACUGCUCAAGCAAGGCCACUCCUCCCUGUAGUUCGGGUCCCCACAGGGACAGGCCCGAGCCCUGCCCCAUCUUACCAGGGCUGGUGGAGCGCCAGCGGUCCCCAUCUCGCCGAGGCCCUGCCCCAAGCCUCCAGCUGCCGUCCUCCUCCUGCUCCUCUCGGAGCGAGCGCCAGUUCUCGCUGUCUGAGCGCGCGUGCUCCUUCCUCGGGCCGGCCCCUCCCUCCUCAAAGCCGGAGCGCGCUGGCGGGGAGAGGCGGUGAGCGGGAGAGGCUGAGCCUCCACCCUGGAGCCCACCUGGGCGGCCUCCCCACCCUGCGGCCUGCACUCAGCACCCUCCUACCUCCGUCCCUCCUCGCAGACUUCUCGAACCGCCGCUCACCUCUGCAGAAGAAAGGUGCCCUCUGCUCAGAGCGGGACAUCAGAAUGGGGACGACACCCCACAGCCGGGAUGCACAGGGCAGGCAGGACCCGGAGGCCUUGAUCAGGCUGGCCUGGGGUCUCUGUCCCUCUGCAGCACCCUCCCUGCUCUGGCCGCCCCCUCCAUCUUCCCACCGACCUGUCAUCCCAGCUCUGGCUUCGCUGGAUCUCCCGGGGAUUGCGGCCAAAGGCCCCAUCACCCUCCUCAAUGCUUCUUUGGUAAAAGCAGCUGUCGCCACGGCCCCGGCCUGA
rnacentral:lncRNA from 1 species